rnacentral:rRNA from 1 species
GGUUAAGCGACUAAGCGUACACGGUGGAUGCCCUGGCAGUCAGAGGCGAUGAAGGACGUGCUAAUCUGCGAUAAGCGUCGGUAAGGUGAUAUGAACCGUUAUAACCGGCGAUUUCCGAAUGGGGAAACCCAGUGUGUUUCGACACACUAUCAUUAACUGAAUCCAUAGGUUAAUGAGGCGAACCGGGGGAACUGAAACAUCUAAGUACCCCGAGGAAAAGAAAUCAACCGAGAUUCCCCCAGUAGCGGCGAGCGAACGGGGAGCAGCCCAGAGCCUGAAUCAGUGUGUGUGUUAGUGGAAGCGUCUGGAAAGGCGCGCGAUACAGGGUGACAGCCCCGUACACAAAAAUACACAUAUUGUGAGCUCGAUGAGUAGGGCGGGACACGUGGUAUCCUGUCUGAAUAUGGGGGGACCAUCCUCCAAGGCUAAAUACUCCUGACUGACCGAUAGUGAACCAGUACCGUGAGGGAAAGGCGAAAAGAACCCCGGCGAGGGGAGUGAAAAAGAACCUGAAACCGUGUACGUACAAGCAGUGGGAGCACGCUUAGGCGUGUGACUGCGUACCUUUUGUAUAAUGGGUCAGCGACUUAUAUUCUGUAGCAAGGUUAACCGAAUAGGGGAGCCGAAGGGAAACCGAGUCUUAACUGGGCGUUAAGUUGCAGGGUAUAGACCCGAAACCCGGUGAUCUAGCCAUGGGCAGGUUGAAGGUUGGGUAACACUAACUGGAGGACCGAACCGACUAAUGUUGAAAAAUUAGCGGAUGACUUGUGGCUGGGGGUGAAAGGCCAAUCAAACCGGGAGAUAGCUGGUUCUCCCCGAAAGCUAUUUAGGUAGCGCCUCGUGAAUUCAUCUCCGGGGGUAGAGCACUGUUUCGGCAAGGGGGUCAUCCCGACUUACCAACCCGAUGCAAACUGCGAAUACCGGAGAAUGUUAUCACGGGAGACACACGGCGGGUGCUAACGUCCGUCGUGAAGAGGGAAACAACCCAGACCGCCAGCUAAGGUCCCAAAGUCAUGGUUAAGUGGGAAACGAUGUGGGAAGGCCCAGACAGCCAGGAUGUUGGCUUAGAAGCAGCCAUCAUUUAAAGAAAGCGUAAUAGCUCACUGGUCGAGUCGGCCUGCGCGGAAGAUGUAACGGGGCUAAACCAUGCACCGAAGCUGCGGCAGCGACACUAUGUGUUGUUGGGUAGGGGAGCGUUCUGUAAGCCUGCGAAGGUGUACUGUGAGGUAUGCUGGAGGUAUCAGAAGUGCGAAUGCUGACAUAAGUAACGAUAAAGCGGGUGAAAAGCCCGCUCGCCGGAAGACCAAGGGUUCCUGUCCAACGUUAAUCGGGGCAGGGUGAGUCGACCCCUAAGGCGAGGCCGAAAGGCGUAGUCGAUGGGAAACAGGUUAAUAUUCCUGUACUUGGUGUUACUGCGAAGGGGGGACGGAGAAGGCUAUGUUGGCCGGGCGACGGUUGUCCCGGUUUAAGCGUGUAGGCUGGUUUUCCAGGCAAAUCCGGAAAAUCAAGGCUGAGGCGUGAUGACGAGGCACUACGGUGCUGAAGCAACAAAUGCCCUGCUUCCAGGAAAAGCCUCUAAGCAUCAGGUAACAUCAAAUCGUACCCCAAACCGACACAGGUGGUCAGGUAGAGAAUACCAAGGCGCUUGAGAGAACUCGGGUGAAGGAACUAGGCAAAAUGGUGCCGUAACUUCGGGAGAAGGCACGCUGAUAUGUAGGUGAAGCGACUUGCUCGUGGAGCUGAAAUCAGUCGAAGAUACCAGCUGGCUGCAACUGUUUAUUAAAAACACAGCACUGUGCAAACACGAAAGUGGACGUAUACGGUGUGACGCCUGCCCGGUGCCGGAAGGUUAAUUGAUGGGGUCAGCGCAAGCGAAGCUCUUGAUCGAAGCCCCGGUAAACGGCGGCCGUAACUAUAACGGUCCUAAGGUAGCGAAAUUCCUUGUCGGGUAAGUUCCGACCUGCACGAAUGGCGUAAUGAUGGCCAGGCUGUCUCCACCCGAGACUCAGUGAAAUUGAACUCGCUGUGAAGAUGCAGUGUACCCGCGGCAAGACGGAAAGACCCCGUGAACCUUUACUAUAGCUUGACACUGAACAUUGAGCCUUGAUGUGUAGGAUAGGUGGGAGGCUUAGAAGUGUGGACGCCAGUCUGCAUGGAGCCGACCUUGAAAUACCACCCUUUAAUGUUUGAUGUUCUAACGUUGACCCGUAAUCCGGGUUGCGGACAGUGUCUGGUGGGUAGUUUGACUGGGGCGGUCUCCUCCUAAAGAGUAACGGAGGAGCACGAAGGUUGGCUAAUCCUGGUCGGACAUCAGGAGGUUAGUGCAAUGGCAUAAGCCAGCUUGACUGCGAGCGUGACGGCGCGAGCAGGUGCGAAAGCAGGUCAUAGUGAUCCGGUGGUUCUGAAUGGAAGGGCCAUCGCUCAACGGAUAAAAGGUACUCCGGGGAUAACAGGCUGAUACCGCCCAAGAGUUCAUAUCGACGGCGGUGUUUGGCACCUCGAUGUCGGCUCAUCACAUCCUGGGGCUGAAGUAGGUCCCAAGGGUAUGGCUGUUCGCCAUUUAAAGUGGUACGCGAGCUGGGUUUAGAACGUCGUGAGACAGUUCGGUCCCUAUCUGCCGUGGGCGCUGGAGAACUGAGGGGGGCUGCUCCUAGUACGAGAGGACCGGAGUGGACGCAUCACUGGUGUUCGGGUUGUCAUGCCAAUGGCACUGCCCGGUAGCUAAAUGCGGAAGAGAUAAGUGCUGAAAGCAUCUAAGCACGAAACUUGCCCCGAGAUGAGUUCUCCCUGACCCUUUAAGGGUCCUGAAGGAACGUUGAAGACGACGACGUUGAUAGGCCGGGUGUGUAAGCGCAGCGAUGCGUUGAGCUAACCGGUACUAAUGAACCGUGAGGCUUAACCUU